rnacentral:sRNA from 1 species
UCAAAAUGUCCACCUCUUUGUUGUAGGC